GUAAACAAAGAGCGGAGAGGCGUCGGCGCGUCACGUGGUGGCGGUGUGGUGUGCAUGCGCUGUGUGAAUCUUCGCACCUGUCAGCCGCUGACCUGCUGGGCAUCCCGUCCAUUCUAAGAUUCACAGCUUCUUGAGUGAGUGAUGUGCCUUACCAUGGUUAUUUUGCGCAGCUCCACCAGCCCUCCCUGCUCCUCAUUUACGCAGCGAGAAGGAACCCCUCGCAGGCACCACAAACAGUUGUGGUCGGGAGAGGAAAUCUAGCUCAGCUGUGAUAAUUAGAAUAGCUGUGAUACUUUAAUUGAGUUGCUAAUACCAGUGCAGGGAUGUUGCAUAAAAGCCUGGUGGCUGGCAGCUUCUCCUUUAGCCCUGCUGAUUGGUAGGGCUGUGGAGCACGUGUGUGUGCUGGGUGUCUGCCCCCUUCCUUUCAGCUUUCCCUCCCAAAUACAGCCCCUUCUUGGCUCCAUUGUAAUGCUGUGCAGUUGUGUGUAUGUUCUCUGAGAGCAACUCCAUGCGUUCCUUCUUUUCCUCUCCCUUAUCUUGAGCUCUCAGCCUGCAUGGGCACGGGUGCAAGGUCUGUGCCAGUCCCCUCAGGCAACUAAUCUUAGUAGUGAAUGUAGAUACAAACCUACAUAUGUGAUUUCAGCCUCUGCCUGGUGCUUGUGGCAAGCCUGAUGCAAUGUGUUCUCGGAAAAGUGUGAGGAGGAAGUAAUGGGCUUCCUUGCUCUUCUGCAGUAAGAAUAGCUCAUUCAUUAUUUAUCUUCACCGGAGUUUGGUUCCUGUAUUUUUGUUGAACUUUGCCUUGCUGCAGUGGCAAUCCUUUUUACUUACUGAAUCCUUGUAGCAGCUUCUUGAAGCUUAUCAAAAUGAGGGGACAUCAGGUUCACUGAAUCCAUCGUUUCCUUCAUCUGAGGUUGUACUGAAAUCAUAGAAUCAGAACAUCCUAAAGGUUGGAAGAGGUCCAUAAGGAUCAUCGAGUCCACCUCCUGGCCCACCACAGGACCACCCAAAGACCAGACCAUAUGGCAGACAGCACUGAGAAUGACUGUCCUCAGCCAACUGCUCAGUGCAACCUCUAUGGAGGCCUUCUUUCUUGAGCAUUUUUCUUCGAAAGGCUUUGCGAUAGUAUGAAAAGUUGGAGGCUGAGAUCUUCAGCGUUCGAAUCAAACAGAUGUUAAUGGUUUUUCACUUUCCCGGAAGAUCUGGCUUUUAACACGUUUUGGUUACUGGAACUGUUUUCAAGGAGAACGUCACACCAGGAGCCUCCAGAGUGCUCUGUGUUUGUUACCAAGCUUUUGCAACUGUACUGAUUUGAAGGAUGACGUGGUGUUUGCUCGUGGUCCCAAUUAGAGGCUCUUUAGAGCAAAAUCCAGAGCAAUUUCUGGAUGUCGUUGACCAUGAUAGCUGAUUUUCUAAUCAUGGCUAAGCUGCUCUUCGUUCUGAAGUGAGCAUUGUUGCACCCUGACUGAAGCUGUGUUGCUCUGCAAAGGUGCUACCAGAGGGCAGCCACAGCGAGGCUGGGACAGAGGGCCGAUCAAAUGCUGCUCCUGCACUUCUGUCUCUGUCCCUAAACAGUGCCCCUCUCAAUGUCUUACAGCUACGGAUUUGGUAUCAGCUCAGAUGACUGGAAAUAGCUGCUGUUUUUUCCCAAUGUCCAGAUGUGCUGUUUUUUUUUUUAAACAUCGAAUUGUGCUUUAAAAACGUGGUCAUAUGACAGAGAUUACAGUUGUUAAGUAUUCACGUAUCAAGGAUUUCUAUUUUUGAAGAGGCAAACAACUCCAUUAUAGUUUGCAAUCUAUAUAUAAGAACUUACAGUGAAAAGCACGUACCAGAAAUAACCAAGAUGGGCUGAACCUUUAAGUUCCAAACUAUUUUCCUGAGCAAUGAGAAUAUUUUAUGAAACCUAAAGGAAUCUGCUUCCUGGAAAACCUCCCUCUGAAACAGCCCUGAGCUGCCCUGACGGCCGGGGAAGCAGAACAAGAGUUUGGAUGCUUUGGAGCCCUCCUGUUAGAGGAAAUAGAUUUUUGAUGGGGGAUUGAAAUAGAUUUUUAAUGGGGGAAAAGGCUGCCACAAACAUAAGGCUGAAAGGGGGUAAAAUGGCACGUGUGUCCGUGCACGGAAUUAUGGACAGUUAUUGAAGGGAAGAUGUACCGCAGUUUGGAGCUUUUAGAGUAUUUAAGGCUUAUGUCAUAAGGAUGCCUGAAGCACUACAGUAAUUGAAGUAUUCAAAUCUGCUGAAUGAAUACCAGCUAAACCGUUUUCUUUAGAUAACAUGACUUGAAGCUGCAGAACUGUCAGUGUAUCUCAUAUGCUGCAAUUGUUUGCCUUUUAUUUGUGUGUGAUUCACUACUUUUACUAAUUGUUACAGCUGUAACGCAUCAGUAUCAUUAAUAACUAAUGACAGCAUGAUCUCACUACAUCUCCUGCAACUAACAGGGUCACUUGGCGUGUCAGCUGUGUCACAGCCCCCAUCAGCACUGGGAUGUGGUGCUCCCAGCAGUCCCCAUUCUCCUUCCUGAUGCUGUACGCAUGCCAGGUCUGAGGAUACAGGCUAACAAAUUGGGUUUUAAGCUCCUUUUGAUUGCAGCGUUGCACGCUGCUCCCAGAUCUGCAGGACUGAGCAUGAAAGCAGGUCCGGAAACUGAAUCCUGUUUUUAAAACAGGCUUUUUUUUUCCCACUUGUUUAUCUUCGUAUUGAAUCAGUUCAGCAGUUCAGGUGGUUGUUUGGUCACAGAAACCAUGAGGGUCUGAGGAAUAGGUGGGAAGUGUUCUGGUGGGAGCUGCUUACACCUGCACGGUUGCUGACAGAAAGUUGUGGAAAAGCAAAGAAACUCUGUUACUUGACGAUGAACAGAAGGGAGAGGAGCGUUAAGCACUCUGGCUCUGAUUCAGAUGUUCUUUCUGAGGUUAAAAAAAAAAGAAAAGCCAGCACACUUAACAUUCUAUUUGGUUGUUGCUGAGAUGUCAUUUUACUGUCUCUUCAUCACGCUGUGGUAUAGUAACAAACCUCCCUCACACCUCUGUUGGAACCAAUACCAUCUUUCUUUUCAGACCUUUCUAUCCACUGUUGUAGAAACUGACGCCAGAAGGAGUUUAGACCACAAAAGCAGUGGGAGCAACACGAAGAGAACUGAGUUAAGAAAGGCAUUUAUGCUCUGAAAGCAGCCUUCUUGUCUUUGUGUUAUAAAAGAUCCUUGAAA
rnacentral:lncRNA from 1 species